CUUUCAUGGCGGCCUCAGCUUUAAGACGUCAUUGUAUUUUUCCUUUUUCUCUCGACUCCAACCCAAGUCCUGGGUCAGAGAUGAAGAAUCUACUAGAGACACAGGCCAAUAAAUCACAGGAGCCUGGACAAGCGGGUACUGCCCUCCCUUCUGCAGAGGAAGAAUUCAGGCUUCCAGCAGCCAAGGGCUUGCUUGCGUGCGGCUGUGUCAGGACUGCAAUUCAAGCCCCUAGUUUCUUGUUCAGGGCUUUCUUCACUCCACGAAGACCAUCAUUCUAACAUCCUACAAAUGUCCGGUGCAAAUGUCUGUGUGAAAUAUAUGCUCUUUUCUGUCUGUUUACUUCAGACUCUGGGGAGAGAUCGGAGAGACAUUAGUAACUUCUUUUUUCUUUCCUCAAGUCCCUGUGACGAAAUGACUGUUUCUGCAGUGCUUGUUUUCUGGGCCCUGGAAAGAUUCCAAAGCUGUCACUGUGUUUUCCAUCUGGCACUUUUUCAAGAAUCUCUCUGCUGCUUCCUGCAGCCUGGAGGUCGUCCUGCAGAGGCCCCUCUACCACCCCUGACAGGCUGGUGGGGCAGGACAUAGGCAUCACGGAGCUGUGCAAUAGGCAGGAACAGCUUGACGAGGGGGCGGGCGCCCCAUUGCGUGCAAACUCACUCCAAGACGGGGAAGCGGCCCCCAGAGACAUGGUUUUCAAAAGUAGAAAACUACCUGCUAAUUUGUUACGGAAACUUUAAGUAUUGAAUGAAUCUAGUGAUUUUUUAAAAUAUAAUUCAACCUAUGGGAAAAAAUCCAGCUUGACUUUCUUGAAACACUCACGGGUCACACUAUUUGGAAAGCAACACUGAAAAGAAACUUUGGAACUUCCAAGGGAAUGUGGAUGGUGAGUGAGCCUCUGCAUUACAGAGUUUGAGCCGUCCCACCUCCCCAAGAACGCUCAGGACCUCAAAGACCCAGCCAGAAAAGACCAAAGAGAUGAUGGAAGUCACAGCUUUGCAGAAACUUCAGAAAAUUUGUGUUUACAAAAGGGUUUGCAAUAAAAGCUGCUGCUCACGUUUUCCUUCUGAAAUAGGUCAAGGAAGUGAAACUCUGGAAGGUAACUCACAGGUGCAGGAUUCCUCUGGACCUGUAAGAAGCUGACGGGCAUUGUGGCCACCGUACGAUGGCGUAGGGGACCUGGCAUUUCCCAGGUUUGAAGUACGUAAUAAUAAAACUGAAAGUGAUCAAGAGAAUUUGUUGGCUACAGAUAUAUUCUGACUUCAGGAUAAUUUCAGUUCCACUGUUUGGUAAUAUCACCAGGAAUUGUUUUAUCUUAGACUUUGGGCUGCCUUGCUCUCGUAUUUUGACUGCUUCUUAAAAUGCCCCUCCACGUCCCAAGAUAACUACCAGCACCUUCUGGAAUUCAUGCAGCCUCAUUCAUUAUAAACAGAAAAGACUAUCUUUGUCCCCAAGUAGGGAAAACAUUGCUUCACCAAACAUAUGUUAAGAUCUUAUUCUUUGCCAAGUACUAGUGACGCAGAAAUGAGUCAGACGUGAUUGCUUAAAUGGGAAAGCUCGGAGUCAUCAUCUGGACAUCCACAAUAUUCCUAUUUCCUUCUGCGUAAAGAUUGUUUUUAAAAAUGCUCGUAUUCUGCGAUUUAUGAAGUGUGUUGAUGAGAAUUCAAACGUGAUGGUUGACGUGCUAGCAGCCAUCUUGUGACCAUGAGUCAACCUUGAAGAUGUAAGCCCUGUGCCAAGGUUGGUGAGCAGGAACAAGAAAGUGCAGGAAGACGGGUCAGUCAUGUAGCUCCGACUGUACUGCUGGGCCAUCUACCCCUGGACAUUUUUAAUAACUCUCUAGAAGCAAUAAGAGUUGACUCCAUGGUGUAAGAGACUGAGUGAUAAGGAAAAGAUUUUCCACAUAGCCUUGUGAUGGAGUAACCAAAAUGACCUCUAAGGUUUGCCAGAAAAAAGCUAGACCUGCGAAGAAAGGAACGCAUUUUGGGCGGCUCCCCCGUGCUCCUCGGGGCCACAAGUACUCGAGGAAGUGACUGUUCCCUGGGUGGUGGCCAGACGCUCGGCUCCCAGGAGUCCGGCCGCCCUGAGGGCGGGGCCGGGAGGUGGAUGGACCGGAAGACCGCGCGUCUAGGGAGACUGAGUCACGUCCGGGUCAGAGCACGCGGCUUGACAGCCGGGGGAACGAAAUGCUGGUCUGGGGCGGAAUUUGAACUUUAGGUGGUUAAUUUCUACAGGCAAGAUCUCUGCUCCAUCUCGCGUCCUAAGAAAGGAGGGGUGUGUUUCUAAGCACAUACAGGCGCUCACACACUUUGCUGAUGUAUAUUCUCUACGUGCCUAAGCAUUGUAAUUUAGAUUUUGAUCUAGAAAAUUAAAAAUAAACGUCUAAGAGUUCCAU
rnacentral:lncRNA from 1 species